rnacentral:rRNA from 1 species
GACGAACGCUGGCGGCGUGCCUAAUACAUGCAAGUAGAACGCUGAAGGAGGAGCUUGCUUCUCUGGAUGAGUUGCGAACGGGUGAGUAACGCGUAGGUAACCUGCCUGGUAGCGGGGGAUAACUAUUGGAAACGAUAGCUAAUACCGCAUAAGAGUAGAUGUUGCAUGACAUUUGCUUAAAAGGUGCAAUUGCAUCACUACCAGAUGGACCUGCGUUGUAUUAGCUAGUUGGUGGGGUAACGGCUCACCAAGGCGACGAUACAUAGCCGACCUGAGAGGGUGAUCGGCCACACUGGGACUGAGACACGGCCCAGACUCCUACGGGAGGCAGCAGUAGGGAAUCUUCGGCAAUGGACGGAAGUCUGACCGAGCAACGCCGCGUGAGUGAAGAAGGGUUUCGGAUCGUAAAGCUCUGUUGUAAGAGAAGAACGAGUGUGAGAGUGGAGAGUUCACACUGUGACGGUAUCUUACCAGAAAGGGACGGCUAACUACGUG